GGGAACACGUUCAUUUAUUCCAAUAUUCUUCAAAGCAGUGUCAACACGGCGUAGGAAUUUCGGCACUCCCUUCCAUAUUGUCUCAUGGAAGUAACUCAUCCCCGCCCUCAUCUCAUCUUGUGGAGUUGGUGGAGUCCUCCUGAUUUCAUCUGUGCGAAAGGCUGCUUGUAUCUCUCUUUGUAGAGCCUCGUCUAGCUCCUGCUUAUCAUCAGGAGUAAUAUCUUUGGCGUACAACUGCGUCA
rnacentral:misc_RNA from 1 species